CCCAGCCCGGCCCCGCCCCUCGGUUGUGGCCUGGCCGCCAGGUGCUACCACCAGAGGGCCCUGCGGGCGGGUCCCUUAGGGUCGCCCUGGCCCAGCGCGCGUCCUCCACGUUCUGUGGGAGAGGAGCGGGAACCGGCCGAGAGCGGCUUAUAGCACAAAGGAGACGCGAGAGUCCUGGAGCCCGCGCCCGCCACUCUUCUUACAGCCCUGACUCGGAGGUGGACUUGAAGGGGGACUGAAUUUUCUCCCAAAGGCCCAACCCGAGGCUAUGGUUCACACCCGACAAAUGAAAGGACACUAGCUUCUUUCAUAGUGCCAGGGCUCGGGCGGGAUCGUGGAGCGGGCUUAGCCAGACCCUCCCAAACAUCUGGCUUUCCCAGACCUGGGAGGAGGAGGACGGAGUACCGUGCCUCCAGCCGCGACCCUGCGCGGAGUGGGAUGAUUGCUGAUGGGUGCCCUCUCAGAAAGUGUCCUUUUGACAGGCGUGUAGCUUUAAUUUUUUUUUUUUUUUUAAGCUAAAAGGAAUUGAGCAUUGCAAUGUAGCAAACGCUUCUGGCUAGAACUACAGUAGCAGUGCGAGAGCUUCCAGUCCUUUCUGAGAUCUCUCUGCAAGCCCUCAGACCUGUGCUGUGGGCUCUCGCAGAUGCUGUCAUAGUCUCCCUAAAAUUGAAGCAAGUAGUGUUCUUUCAGUGGAGCAACACGUCUCCUCAGUAGCUGUAGAAAGUGCAAGUGGAACUUCUCCUGUGACCAUCUAUCUGGUGGCUUCCACUGCGUAGCCUCUCCUAGCUUCUGAGCACCUUGCACAGCCCCUGCACAGACUGACGACAAGAUUCAGAGAUGGGCUUCUGAGAGCAAACCUGAGAAAAGGAAAUUGGAAGCAAUUAAGAAAAGUGGAAUGUGCCGAGGAGCACGGAGUAACUUUGGGUCCAGUGGAAACAGUGUACUAGCCUGUCACACUCUACUCCGUCCCUACAAACAGGAGGAAAUUGGCUGAAGGAGGUUUGAGGAGGAAGUAGAGAAUCUCUGUCAAAUCACAGCAAGCAGACCUCUAGGACCAGCCCUUGCCAACACUCUUGUCCCCGUGCAUCUGAACGUUAUAGAGGCUGAUCACUGUCCCGAACUCAUCCUGAAGAUCAGAAAAAUGAUUUUGCUUCAAUGGCUGUCUUCAGUCACUUCUUCUCUAGGAGUUUUUGCCAGUGAAGUUUUCUGUCAGUGUCUGUUUUAUCAAACACUCCUGUACCGGUUAUACCAUGAAGCAGUACUUCUUAUUAUAAAUAAUAGCCCACCUUGAGACAUUCUGCCCUUCUUCUAAACUGUAAAAGUGGGACAUGCCAGAGUCCAUUGGAAAUGAUCUGACUUGAACAUGGAAACCCCUGCCCUUGCUUGCCAGCUCAUCUUUCUGAGAGAAUGUCAUUCCUGAAACACCACCUAUCCAUUCCCGCACCUGUUACAAAGCUUCAUUCCAGGGAAGGAGACAGUUAGGGUUGAAAAUGACAUUGCAUCUUUCUCUUCAGUGUUGUUGAUGGCCUGACUUUCCUCUUCCUUCUCUUCAGUGUUGUUGAUGGCCUGACUUUCCUCUUCCUUCAAGGUUAAUCUCAACUCUAAAGUCUAAAUGGAUCGUAAUUUCACUAUAUCCUAGCUGUAACUCAACCAAAAAAAAAUCAGAAUUAAAAAAAAUCCCAACAUUUAUCAGUUAGCUUUUAUUUUCCUCC
rnacentral:lncRNA from 1 species